rnacentral:rRNA from 1 species
CAUUACUGAGUUUACGCUCUAUACCCUUUGUGAACAUACCUAUAACUGUUGCUUCGGCGGGUAGGGUCUCCGUGACCCUCCCGGCCUCCCGCCCCCGGGCGGGUCGGCGCCCGCCGGAGGAUAACCAAACUCUGAUUUAACGACGUUUCUUCUGAGUGGUACAAGCAAAUAAUCAAAACUUUUAACAACGGAUCUCUUGGUUCUGGCAUCGAUGAAGAACGCAGCGAAAUGCGAUAAGUAAUGUGAAUUGCAGAAUUCAGUGAAUCAUCGAAUCUUUGAACGCACAUUGCGCCCGCCAGCAUUCUGGCGGGCAUGCCUGUUCGAGCGUCAUUUCAACCCUCAAGCUCUGCUUGGUGUUGGGGCCCUACAGCUGAUGUAGGCCCUCAAAGGUAGUGGCGGACCCUCCCGGAGCCUCCUUUGCGUAGUAACUUUACGUCUCGCACUGGGAUCCGGAGGGACUCUUGCCGUAAAACCCCCCAAUUUUCCAAAGGUUGACCUCGGAUCAGGUAGGAAUACCCGC